rnacentral:rRNA from 1 species
UACAGAGGUCCCAAGCGUUGUUCGGAUUCACUGGGCGUAAAGGGUGCGUAGGCGGUCGGAUAAGUCUGAUGUGAAAUCUUCGAGCUCAACUCGGAAACUGCAUCGGAAACUAUUCGGCUAGAGGAUUGGAGGGGAGACUGGAAUUCUCGGUGUAGCAGUGAAAUGCGUAGAUAUCGAGAGGAACACCAGUGGCGAAGGCGAGUCUCUGGACAAUUCCUGACGCUGAGGCACGAAAGCUAGGGGAGCAAACGGG